UGGCAGCUUCUGGCUUGGCCCAG
rnacentral:piRNA from 1 species